rnacentral:rRNA from 1 species
UCAUUGGGUAUUUUUAAAACCUAAAGGCGUAAUUAACUUAACUGUUUAUAAUGGGAUCAAUUAUAUAUAUGUUUACAUAUAUAUAUUCCAUCCCGGGGCGUUCUAUAUAGUUAUGUAUUUUAAUAUAUUUUAUAUAUAUUAUAUAUACCUCUAACUAGAGCGUACCUUGAGCAUAUAUGUUGUGACCCGAAAGAUGGUGAACUAUACCUGAUCAGGUUGAAGUCAGGGGAAACCCUGAUGGAAGACCGAAACAGUUCUGACGUGCAAAUCGAUUGUCAGAAUUGGGUAUAGGGGCGAAAGACCAAUCGAACCAUCUAGUAGCUGGUUCCCUCCGAAGUUUCCCUCAGGAUAGCUGGUGCAUUUAAAUAUUAUGUAAAAUAAUCUUAUCUGGUAAAGCGAAUGAUUAGAGGCAUUAGGGCCGAAACGACCUUAACCUAUUCUCAAACUUUAAAUGGGUAAGAACCUCACCUUUCUUGAUAUGAAGGUUGAGGUUGUGAUAUAUUGUGCCCAGUGGGCCACUUUUGGUAAGCAGAACUGGCGCUGUGGGAUGAACCAAACGUGAUGUUACGGCGCCCAAAUUAACAACUCAUACUGAUACCAUGAAAGGCGUUGCUUGCUUAAAACAGCAGGACGGUGGACAUGGAAGUCGUAAUCCGCUAAGGAGUGUGUAACAACUCACCUGCCGAAGCAACUAGCCCUUAAAAUGGAUGGCGCUCAAGUUGUAUGCCUAUACAUCACCGCUAAAAUAUAUGAUUUAUAAAAUUUUUUUUAUAAAUUUUGAAAUUUUAGUGAGUAGGAGGGUACAAUGGUGUGCGUAGAAGUGUUUGGUGUAAACCUGCAUGGAGCCGCCAUUGGUACAGAUCUUGGUGGUAGUAGCAAAUAAUCGAAUGAGACCUUGGAGGACUGAAGUGGAGAAGGGUUUCGUGUGAACAGUGGUUGAUCACGAGUUAGUCGGUCCUAAGUUCAAGGCGAAAGCCGAAAAAUUUUAAGUUAUAUUAAUUUGUAAAAUUUAAUAUACUUAAUUUUUUGAACGAAAGGGAAUACGGUUCCAAUUCCGUAACCUGUUGAGUAUACGUUUGUUAUUAAAAAUGGGCUUUUAUGCUCAUCCUGGUAACAGAAACAACCAUAAAGAAGCCGUCGAGAAAUAUCGAAAGAGUUUUCUUUUCUGUUUCAUAGUCGUACUACCAUGGAAGUCUUUCGAAGAGAGAUAUGGUAGAUGGACUAGAAGAGCAUGGCAUUUACUGCUGUGUCGAUAUUUUCUCCUCGGACCUUGAAAAUUUAUGGUAGGGUCACGCAAACUUCUUAACAGGCCGUACCGAUAUCCGCAGCUGGUCUCCAAGGGAAGAG